rnacentral:rRNA from 1 species
AUUGAACGCUGGCGGCAUGCCUUACACAUGCAAGUCGAACGGCAGCACGGGUGCUUGCACCUGGUGGCGGGUGGCGAACGGGUGAGUAAUACAUCGGAACGUACCUUAUCGUGGGGGAUAACGCAGCGAAAGCUGUGCUAAUACCGCAUACGCCCUGAGGGGGAAAGCGGGGGAUCGCAAGACCACGCUCUAUUAGAGCGGCCGAUGCCUGAUUAGCUUGUUGGUGGGGUAAAAGCCCACCAAGGCGACGAUCAGUAGCUGGUCUGAGAGGACGAUCAGCCACACUGGGACUGAGACAUAGCCCAGACUCCUACGGGAGGCAGCAGUGGGGAAUUUUGGACAAUGGGGGCAACCCUGAUCCAGCAAUGCCGCGUGAGUGAAGAAGGCUUUCGGGUUGUAAAGCUCUUUUGUCAGGGAAGAAACACCGGCUCUAACACAGUCUGGGAAUGACGGUACCUGAAGAAUAAGCACCGGCUAACUACGUGCCAGCCGCCGCAGUAA